rnacentral:rRNA from 1 species
AUUGAACGCUGGCGGCAGGCCUAACACAUGCCAGUCGAGCGGAUGAAGGUAGCUUGCUCCUGGAUUCAGCGGCGGACGGGUGAGUAAUGCCUAGGAAUCUGCCUGGUAGUGGGGGAUAACGUCCGGAAACGGGCGCUAAUACCGCAUACGUCCUGAGGGAGAAAGUGGGGGAUCUUCGGACCUCACGCUAUCAGAUGAGCCUAGGUCGGAUUAGCUAGUUGGUGGGGUAAAGGCCUACCAAGGCGACGAUCCGUAACUGGUCUGAGAGGAUGAUCAGUCACACUGGAACUGAGACACGGUCCAGACUCCUACGGGAGGCAGCAGUGGGGAAUAUUGGACAAUGGGCGAAAGCCUGAUCCAGCCAUGCCGCGUGUGUGAAGAAGGUCUUCGGAUUGUAAAGCACUUUAAGUUGGGAGGAAGGGCAGUAAGUUAAUACCUUGCUGUUUUGACGUUACCAACAGAAUAAGCACCGGCUAACUUCGUG